rnacentral:rRNA from 1 species
UACAGAGGUCUCAAGCGUUGUUCGGAUUCAUUGGGCGUAAAGGGUGUGUAGGUGGCUCGCUAAGUCGGGUGUGAAAUUUCGGAGCUUAACUCCGAAACUGCAUUCGAUACUGGCGUGCUUGAGGACUGGAGAGGAGACUGGAAUUCAUGGUGUAGCAGUGAAAUGCGUAGAGAUCAUGAGGAAGACCAGUGGCGAAGGCGGGUCUCUGGACAGUUCCUGACACUGAGACACGAAGGCCAGGGGAGCAAACGGG